rnacentral:lncRNA from 10 species
AUUACAUUAAUUUACUUUAAAUAUUUGCAAAUAUCUGUCCCUUUCUCUAUAUUGCAGACUCCUGAUAUUAAAGGGACUGUUAUAAAUUUGCUUUCAAUAGACAACCAUUGGAUUAUAAUAUCAAAAUCAGCAGCCAUGCCUAGCCAGCCUAUAAAUGAAUACUUAGCUUUGACUGUAAAAACAAUAUAGUACGUUAGAUGAGAAAAAAGUUACCAAUACUAGAUAAAUUCAAUUCAAACUCCACAUUUCAAUACUUACAAGUCUGUUUUACAUAAUUUCUAUUACAAAACAGUUAUUUGCUGACUCAUUGGGAUCCUUUUGGACAAAAGUUGAUUCAGUAAAUUUCAUGUCAUCAAUAACAUUGAGUUGAGAAAAAAAAUCAAUGAAUAACUGUACAGUUCAUCAAGUGAACAGUCAAUAAAUUGAACUUUGUAUUUUCCACAAGUUCUAUUUUAAGGCAUUUGAUUUAAAACCCAGAUUUUUUGUCAGUUCAUUGAAUAAAAGUUGGUAACAUGAAUAACAGGUAUUAAAGCUAAUAAUAUAGCUCUAUGAAAAUAAAGCUCAAAUACAGCCGAUUACAUGUUAUAAUUAAAAUGUGCAUUUAAAAGGUGACUUUAUAAUAAAAUGUAUUGUACAUGUUAGAGUAUUAAAAAAUCUAAAUAUUUUGGAUUAAAACAUUCCACUGUUUUUUUUUUGUUUUGUUUUUGUUUUUGUUUUUGUUUUUUUUUUGAGAUAGAGUCUCACCCUGUAGCCCAGGCUGGAGUGCAGUGGCUCAUUCUCGGCUCACUGCAAGCUCUGCCUCCCGGGUUCACGCCAUUCUCCUGCCUCAGUUUCCCGAGUAGCUGGGACUACAGGCGCCCGCCCCCACACCCGGCUAAUUUUUUGUUUUUUGGUAGAGACGGGGUUUCACUGUGUUAGCCAGGAUGGUCUCGAUCUCCUGACCUCGUGAUCCACCCGCCUCAGCCUCCCAAAGUGCUGGGAUUACAGGUGUGAGCCACCACGCCCGGCCACAUUCCACUCUGUUUUUGAAAAGCAGUUUUGAAGAGCAGAGCAGAUUCAGUUACAUGACCAAAGGUAGCCCAGCCUACAGGAUUUUAUAAAUUUCAAAAUCUUAUAUGACAAGAGCAGUUGAAUAACUUCAUAUUCUUGGAAAAUAUUGACAUAAUGUACCUUUUUUAUUGUAAUUCUCUUGCCAUUAAAAUUACAAUGACGUUUUCUUUCUACAUUUUUGUCUUCAAUACAGCAGCCUGCCAUAUUGCUGAAGGUUUGUGAGACACAGCCUAGAAGUUUGUUAUCAAUCCUCAUUGGUUGAGGCUCCUCCUGCUGUAGUUGAAGACUGUCUACUGCUAAAAGGAGAGAAUAUACUAGAAAGAAAUAAAAUUACUUGAUGUAUUUAAUUUUUUCUGUUACUUCCUGUCCAUUUGUUACUUCCUGUCCCUUUGUCACCGGAAGACAUUCUGUAUUUUCGUCCUGAGGCAUCAAGUGCAUUGAGAACAACAGAAUGUAGACAUUUGUGUGCUUCAACAAACAAUGGAGUAAGAAGUAAAUGAAAAGUUUUAUGUAAUAGAGAUGUUGACAGAUUCCAUUUCAUCUAGUGAACAUAUCCAGUAUUUACAAUCUUACCCCACACAUAUCAUGCAGACUACCUGACUGUAUGUUUUGCUUCUAGAUCAAGACCUAUUGUCCACUCUAAAACAUCAUGCACACAUAUGAAAUCCCGAUUGUCUACAUUUAUGGAACACAGUUUAAAAUACUUCAGAAAUAUUAAAAUGAUAAAUGUCAGCAAAAUACAAGUUCAUUUGAGAUUCAACAUGCAUUCAACUCUUUAUUUAGCUAGGAGUUAUUUAAUACCACAUGCUGGCUACAGUGUUAGGGUCUGAAGUACAUAGCUUAAUAGGGUUAAACUUUGAUAUAGGAAGCAAAAAGCUAUUCAAUUAUAAAACAGUGUUUACAUACUUAUAGGAAAAUGCUUACAAAAAUUAUAUGAAAGCACAAUGAAGUGAUCUAUUUUAAUAGUUCUACACUAGAAAAACAGGAAUUAGUGGUUUAGAGAAGGAUUUUUUGUUCAGGUUAGAUUUGGAGAGGUCUUUCCAGAGUUAGUAAAUACUUUCAGAAGGAGAAGAGAAAAAGCACAUUUCAGAAAAUAAUUAAUGACGUGAGCCAUAUCAAAGAGAUAUAACAGAGCAUGGUUUAUUUAAGAAACUAUUCAUGGUCCAGAAUGGUAAUGGUGUAGGAUGGUUGUAUUGAAAAAAAAAAAGUAGUCUAUACAACAAUCAAGUUAGCUUUUACCGUAUUUUUAAAAACGAUGUUAAGUAAUUUUGAGUGAUGUGGGUCACAUUCUGCAGGGAAUGGCUAAUCAUAAAAGUAAGCCAAAAACUAUUUGGGGCAGGCAUUUUUAAAACUUUAAAUUAAUUACCCUAACAACAUCUUUCUAGAAAGCAACUGUGCCUGAAGUGCACUUAGGGCCAAGAAACAAGCAAGUAUCUGCAAUUUUAUUAAAGUGUUGUUUGCCAGUCUUUCCUCAGAAAACAAUAAGAGAUUUGAGAAGAAAAGAAAAAUAAUCAUUUAUGUAGUUUUUGGCUCAGGUUUCAAUAAAGAGACAAGGACAGAUGAUAUAUUAAGUCAAGAGCUUUCUUGAUCUUGACCAGCGAAUGAACAGAAAAGUAAGAGCUUCUCCCAAAAUUCUCAGAUGGAUUGCCUCUGAAGCGCCUCCAUUUGGGUUCAGUUUCUCAUCUUUGGUUAUUUCCUUUGAUUAAGCAUAAAGUGAUGUGUGAAAUAAUUAGGAGAAGCCUGGAUUGGCAGAAUAGUUAAUGCAUCUUCAUCUAAGAUAAACACCUCUUCUCUUUCAUCUCUCUAUAGGUAUUCUUGAUUCAUCUUUUUAUUAGAUUUCUUUUGAAGCAGUAAGGCUUUACCUCAUAUUGCAGGAUUUCCUUCACCGUUAUCUUUAAUCUGCAAGUUAACAUUUGAACCAUCAACAAAAUAUAUCACUAUGAUAAACCAAAUAACAAGUAACCUUUAUUACUUUGAUAUUUUGAAGUUCAACAAACCAUAAUCUUAAGGAGUAUGUUUGGAGCGUGUCUGAAAUAAAAGUGACAUCAUUGCAAAGUGUUAUAGUUAAAAACAAGCAAUCCAAAGUGAAACUAGGGCAAUCUCAAUUUCCUAUAAGCCACGCUAGGCAGGUGAGAUUUCUGCUUUGUUAAAAAGAGUGGAAGUGUAGAGCAUAGAUUAGAAAUAGAAGCAAUCCAGGACCAAAAACAUCAGUUAGCUGAAUUUGGAGACAAUAAAGACAAGUGUUAAAGUGAUCUGAGCUGGGGGCUAGAGGCUAUUCAUUAAAAAGAUGAAACUAUUUUCAUUUCUACAUUCAUUUUUAACCAUGACACUCACUUUGAAAUAUAAUUUGCAAUGACUCUAUAAAGAGAGAACAAAAAGCAUAAAGCACUGUGAGGAGGUGGAAAUAAAUAACUCUUAUUAAAAACAAAACAAGGAAGUCAAAGCAAAAAAAAAAGUCCAUAAAAAGUUUAGAUACAGUUUGAAAUAGAGCUUACCAAUUAGCUUCACUACAUGACUAAAUUUAUUUAAAAAGAAAAGUGAAAAGAAAAACAAAUGUGGAAAUGAAACACACCCAUUUUGAUGCCUUGAACUGAUAAACGAUAGUGGAUGCAUACCCACACACGCACACCCACAGAGAACUAAGCACUGAGAACAUUAAAUUUAGCUUAUCUUAAAUAAAAUACUAUAUUCAACUCAUUAAUCUUUCUUUCUUGGUAAUAGAGUUGUGAUUUAUAAUUGUGACUAUUAUGGCACAGAUUCAUUUGAAAAUACUCUAUUAUAAUAUUUAAUAUUUUGCCAUUUCCUCUAGAGCUAAAUUUCAU